GACGAACGCUGGCGGCGUGCUUAACACAUGCAAGUCGAACGGUGACCUCGAGAGCUUGCUCUCGGGCGAUCAGUGGCGAACGGGUGAGUAACACGUGAGUAACCUGCCCCAGACUCUGGGAUAACUCCGGGAAACCGGUGCUAAUACUGGACAUGACUACCUCCCGCAUGGGAUGGUGGUGGACAGUUUUUUCGGUGGAGGAUGGACUCGCGGCCUAUCGGCUUGUUGGUGGGGUAAUGGCCUACCAAGGCGACGACGGGUAGCCGGCCUGAGAGGGCGACCGGCCACACUGGGACUGAGACACGGCCCAGACUCCUACGGGAGGCAGCAGUGGGGAAUAUUGCACAAUGGGCGGAAGCCUGAUGCAGCGACGCCGCGUGAGGGAUGACGGCCUUCGGGUUGUAAACCUCUUUCAGCUCUGACGAAGCUUUUCGUGACGGUAGGAGCAGAAGAAGCACCGGCUAACUACGUGCCAGCAGCCGCCGUAAAAC
rnacentral:rRNA from 1 species